AUCUUCUUUGAAGGUAUGCUUAAGGAGGGGCUUGCGACACAUUAGUUAGGUGGCAGGGUAAAGGCCUACCAAGACUAUGAUGUGUAGCUGGACUGAGAGGUUGAACAGCCACAUUGGGACUGAGACACGGCCCAAACUCCUACGGGAGGCAGCAGUAGGGAAUUUUCGGCAAUGGAGGAAACUCUGACCGAGCAACGCCGCGUGAACGAUGAAGUACCUCGGUAUGUAAAGUUCUUUUAUUAAGGAAGAAAAAAGAGUGGAAAAACUCCCUUGACGGUACUUAAUGAAUAAGCCCCGGCUAAUUAUGUGCCAACAGCCGCGGUAAUACAUAAGGGGCGAGCGUUAUCCGGAAUUAUUGGGCGUAAAGGGUGCGUAGGCGGUUUAAUAAGUCUAUAGUUUAAUUUCAGUGCUUAACGCUGUUGUGCUAUAGAAACUGUUUUACUAGAGUGAGAUAGAGGCAAGCGGAAUUCCAUGUGUACCGGUAAAAUGCGUAAAUAUAUGGAGGAACACCAAAGGCGUA
rnacentral:rRNA from 1 species